UCUUUCACUUUCCUUUGGGUUUUGUUAGUUCUCACUCUCUCAAUCCUCUCCCACUUUCAGCUCUCCUUUAUUCUCCCCAAUAAGCGAAAACUCUUUUGUGUUUCUUCUCUUUCACGCUGACCAAGGGUUCAAAUUUAGAAAUAACACAUGACAAAGGCUCCAGGUCGAUUGCCUAUAGUGGUAGGGGUUCACUCCACGAAUUUCGAUGAUAUUCAUGAGUUUGAUGAUGAUGAUCAAGCAGCUCUUAAUACUCGCCUUCAUGAUCCUGCUAGCAAGUAGUUUUGGUGUUUCUUCCUCGUCAAUUCAUGCCAUGAUGGGUAUGUUGCAGAGUCCACGCCUUAAUGUUCAAGCCAAUAGACAGGUUUUACAUAGUUUGGAAGGGCGCAUGACUACUUGUGAUACUCAGAUGCAGCGUUUGGAGUCUCAGUCUGGUUUUCUAGAUCGUGUGUUUUACUCACUCAAUCUUCUCUUGGCCACGCCUCUUCACAUUUCCUUAGGAGAGUAUUCUAUUUCUUUACCUUAAUCAUUAAGGACAAUGCUUACUUUAGGGGUGGAGGGGAAGUUUGGUGCAAGUUUCUUAUGUUUAUUUAGUUGUUUUAUUUAUGUUCUUUAUUUGUUGUGUUUACGGUUGUUUAAAGUUGGUUUAGAGUAAUGUAACAAUCAUGCCCAAUGCCUUGUACAAUGUGGUGGUGAUAUGUGUAAUCUUGAGUUAAUUGAUGCAAUGGAUGGAUCUAGUAAUGGAGUUGGCUCA